UACUCCCUGUUUCUUAUAAAACUAAAAUCUUAAAUAAUACAUUAAUACAAAGAUUUGACAAUUUUUUCACAUUGAAGGUGUAGAUUAUUUCUAAGGUACAAACAACAAGGUACAAUGAUUUCAACACUACGAUUCCAAAAAGUUACACUUCUGUAUGAAAAAUCAAAAGAUCCAAACUUGAAUAAUUUCUUCGCUGGAUUCCCAAAGCUAUAUUUGUCUAAGCAUAACCUAAAAGGUAAUUUUUUUUUCAAUGCUACAACCAAAGAUUGCAAUAUUUCGGUACAAAGUGAAAUCUCCCAAAAACAUUUCAAAUACGACGCAUACAUUUUUUACUCCCCGUUUCUUA
rnacentral:lncRNA from 1 species